rnacentral:rRNA from 1 species
CAGUCGAACGAAGACAUACCGACGGAAUCCUUCGGGAGGAAGAUGGUAUGGCCUUAGUGGCGGACGGGUGAGUAACGCGUGGGUAACCUGCCCUGUACAGGGGGACAACAGUUAGAAAUGACUGCUAAUACCGCAUAAGCGCACAGUACCGCAUGGUACAGUGCGAAAAACUCCGGUGGUACAGGAUGGGCCCGCGUCUGAUUAGUUAGUUGGCGGGGUAACGGCCCACCAAGACGACGAUCAGUAGCCGGCUUGAGAGAGUGAACGGCCACAUUGGGACUGAGACACGGCCCAAACUCCUACGGGAGGCAGCAGUGGGGAAUAUUGCACAAUGGGGGAAACCCUGAUGCAGCAACGCCGCGUGAGUGAAGAAGUAUUUCGGUAUGUAAAGCUCUAUCAGCAGGGAAGAAAAUGACGGUACCUGACUAAGAAGCCCCGGCUAACUACGUGCCAGCAGCCGCGGUAAUACGUAGGGGGCAAGCGUUAUCCGGAUUUACUGGGUGUAAAGGGAGCGCAGGCGGUGCGGCAAGUCAGAUGUGAAAACCCGGGGCUCAACCCCGGGACUGCAUUUGAAACUGUCGGACUAGAGUGCCGGAGAGGUAAGUGGAAUUCCUAGUGUAGCGGUGAAAUGCGUAGAUAUUAGGAGGAACACCAGUG